UACAGAGGUCUCAAGCGUUGUUCGGAUUCAUUGGGCGUAAAGGGCUCGUAGGUGGCUUUGUAAGUCGGAGGUGAAAUCCCACGGCUCAACCGUGGACACGCCUUCGAAACUGUGAAGCUUGAGGCUGGGAGAGGCGAUCGGAAUUCCUGGUGUAGCGGUGAAAUGCGUAGAUAUCAGGAGGAACACCGGUGGCGAAGGCAGGUCUCUGGGCAUUAACUGACGCUGAGGAGCGAAAGCAUGGGGAGCGAACAGG
rnacentral:rRNA from 1 species